GACGGAGGAUGCAAGUGUUAUCCGGAAUCACUGGGCGUAAAGCGUCUGUAGGUGGUUUAAAAAGUCUACUGUUAAAAAUUGAAGCUUAACUUCAAAGGUGCCGUAGAAACUUUUAAACUUGAGGAUGGUAGGGGUAGAGGGAAUUUCCAGUGGAGCGGUGAAAUGCGUAGAUAUCAGGAGGAACACCGGUGGUGUAGACGGCUUUCUGGACCGUAACUGACGCUGAGACACGAAAGCGUGGGUAGCAAACAGG
rnacentral:rRNA from 1 species